rnacentral:tRNA from 1 species
CGGCAAACUUCGCAGGGCUAUAUUAUCCGCAUUUUACAACAUUUCGCAACGAAACUUCGGAAUAUUACCAAUUUUGUGAUGCUCUUUCAAGCUGUGAUGAAAUUUUUGUCUAGAUUUGUCUUGAUCAAAAUUUUGUUCAUUAGGGAAUAGGUCCAUUCCAUCAGACGGGCCGUCAUACACGAGUUUCCCGUCCAAGACAUCCCAAGUCCUGCGACGUUCAUUCCGCCAUUUUCUUCACGCCCGUUUCCCGGUUAUACCAAAAUAAACGUUAUUUAAUUCGAACCUACUUCGAAACCUGUCAGUCUUAACAGCAGCCAGGGCGUGGACAGGGUGGGCAUGUCCACGCCAAUUUUCUCGAAGACCGAUAUUUAGCGGGUUCAGCAAAUUUGUGGAGAAAAUGAGCGUCGAAGGCCCAACGUCGAAAUUCUCCUUAUAUUGUUCAGGUAGUUGCAUCCCUACCAAUUAACGAAAGCUUGUUUAUAUUAUUGGCACUAACCACACUGGCACGGGCAGCUUCAGAUUAUUUCUGUGAUCACAAUAGCAAUUUUGCAUAGGCAAAUUGUAAGAUUUGAAGGAAUUGUAAAAAAAGUACGUUGUAUUGGUUCCCUUAAACAUUUCUUACAUGAAAUGCUUCAAAAAUCAAAAUGUAUAAUUUACCUAUGCAAAAUUCCUACUGUGAUCACAGAAACUUUGAUAGUGUAAACCAGCCUUUAAGGCGGUUUUCCACUAGGCGAAAUUUUUCGACCGAAUCGAAAUGUUCUUUUGUCUUACAAGCACUCAGAUGGAACUAAACAGAAAUCUUUUGAAUUUGAACAAUAGAAAUUUCGGUUCGAUCGAAAAAUUUCGCCUGUGGAAAACCGCCUUUAGUGUAUUUUUAACUUCGAAAUAAAUUAUAUGAUAGACUGACCGUGAAAAAGCUAGUUGUCUUGACUCGAUCUCCAGCAUGCAUGAGCUCGACCUUUGAACUUACCAUAUGAGUAAAUCAUUGUUAAACACUUCCGAAAUUAUGUUUGUGAUGUUACUCUGAGUGUGCAUCCACACCGGGCAGCUGAAAUAUCAUCAAUUUCGAAAUAUCAUCAACCACGUAGCUCAGUUGACAGAGCAUUGGACUAGUAGUAUCCCAAAGGUCGCGGGUUCGAUUCCCACCGUGGUCAAGCUAACUUUUCAGCUUGCCCGGUGUGGAUGCACACUCAGAGUAACAUCACAAACAUCAUAUUCACCUGAGUACAUAACACCAACACAUACAAAAUACCACCACAACCCCUAACCCUAAUAUAAUCUUAAUCUAAUCUUAAUCUGACACUAAUCUAAACUUGAUGACCUUUUUCUUAAUAAUAACCGUAACUCUAUAAACACUAACACUAACCCUAACGGUUUUAUGUGGAGUUGCGAAUUUAUUGUAAUUGAUAAUUUCGGACGUGUCGCGAAUUUAAUGUAUUGAUAAUUUCGGACGUGUUUAACAAUUUAUCCAUAUAGUAAAUUCAAUAGCCGAGCUCAUGUCAGUGUGACUUUCAGACUGUAUCUUAUUCAGUGUUUCGAAGUCCUGAAAUCUAUUUCUUGGACAUUUCAACAUUUUCCAACAGGCUUACCAGCCCAACACUGACUAAUAUUUUGCAAAUUUCUAUAUUUCUUGCAUUCUAUAACCAGCUGCUUUGUGGGAAGACAUUUUAUUUACAAAAGCAAAUGCCAUUAUUAAUCAUCAUCGCGAUGUUUACCGAUGUAUGGUCUAUGGAUCCGAGUCAAAGUACAAGAAACUAUACAAUAACAAGAUACGGCUGCCUCUGUUCUAUGAUAAAUCCCUAAUUAUUUGUCUAGUGAAACUUUAAUUCAUAAAUUGUCAGUAUUUAUCCAUGAAAAAAGCUCAAAGGGGAAUUUGAAAG